CACUUCCUGACAAGUGUUGACGGGGUUAUCACAGUGUUCGUGUUGGAACUGUGGUAGGUGAGUAAUGAUCCCUACUAGAAAGGAGAGGGCAAGGCUGGUGCCAGCCGCCGCGGUAAAACCAGCUCUUCAAGUGGUCGGGAUAAUUAUUGGGCUUAAAGUGUCCGUAGCCGGUUUAGUAAGUUCCUGGUAAAAUCGGGUAGCUUAACUAUCUGUAUGCUAGGAAUACUGCUAUACUAGAGGGCGGGAGAGGUCUGAGGUACUACAGGGGUAGGGGUGAAAUCUUAUAAUCCUUGUAGGACCACCAGUGGCGAAGGCGUCAGACUGGAACGCGCCUGACGGUGAGGGACGAAAGCCAGGGGAGCGAACCGGAUUAGAUACCCGGGUAGUCCUGGCCGUAAACGAUGCAUACUAGGUGAUGGCACGGCCAUGAGCCGUGUCAGUGCCGUAGGGAAACCGUUAAGUGUGCCGCCUGGGAAGUACGGUCGCAAGGCUAAAACUUAAAGGAAUUGGCGGGGGAGCACAAACA
rnacentral:rRNA from 1 species